UUCAACGAUUUCACAGAAUUCCCAAAAUCAAUUUCGACUCCAUAUUCCUAAAAAUCACCCAUAACUCACUCCAAAUAUAUUGAUUUUGAAAGAAGAACGAUAGGAACCCCAACUCCAAAGUAGGGAAGAAAUUCAAUUAGUUGGUACAAGCUACCUUCGUCAGCUGCGGUAUAGUGCCGAGCUACGUUAAAUUUGUUAGUUUUGUAGCCAAACACACUCGCAAGGAAGUGUAAUAAAGUAAGAAGCCUGACGAUGCAUUUGGGCUCCCUCAGCAACCGAGCACUACUAGUGUGAUUCACUCAAUGGUGUCAGCUAAAUAUUAUGCUAUAAUAUGAAAGUGGACGACUUGGAAUAUCCGUGGAGGAGUUGUUGUUGUAGUGUUCAUCGGAUGACGUGGAAGUUAACUUUGAAGAAAUGGUUGACGAAUUCCAACAAAUGGAUGAGGCUGAAUUCUGGAAGCUAAGAGCGGCAAGGGCACGAAAAAGAAGAGCUGUGAAGACGACAAAAUCUGCAUCCGUUCUGUGUAAAGACAUUGAUACUAAUCUGUAGUGCAGUGCAAUGUAAAACUUUUAAUUUUGGUUGUAACUAUUGGUUAAAAUACAUCGGUUUUUAUUUUUGUGAUGUAAAGGAAAGACAAUGUAUGUGCUUGUGUUGGUUUAAACUUUCAAUGGACGAUUUUUUAUUUUUUGUGCA